rnacentral:piRNA from 1 species
UGGAAAAUUUUGUGCUUCCAACGUGGC